rnacentral:rRNA from 1 species
GACGUAGGGGGCGAGCGUUGUCCGGAUUUAUUGGGCGUAAAGGGUGCGUAGGCGGCAGGGUAAGUCUGGUGUGAAAUCCCGGGGCUCAACCCCGGAACUGCACUGGAUACUGCUUUGCUAGAGUACUGGAGAGGGAACUGGAAUUUACGGUGUAGCAGUGAAAUGCGUAGAUAUCGUAAGGAAGACCAGUGGCGAAGGCGAGUUCCUGGACAGUAACUGACGCUGAGGCACGAAGGCCAGGGGAGCAAACGGG